rnacentral:rRNA from 1 species
GGGUCAUUAGGUUGGUCGUGCCACCGGUACGUACUGGUCUCACCGAUUCCUCCUUCCUGAAGAACCGUAAUGCCAUUAAUUUGGUGUUGCGGGGAAACAGGACUGUUACUUUGAAAAAAUUAGAGUGUUUAAAGCAAGCUAACGCUUGAAUACAUUAGCAUGGAAUAAUGAAAUAGGACGAUCGAUCCUAUUUUGUUGGUUUCUAGGAUUGACGUA